rnacentral:rRNA from 1 species
GUGAACUCGAAGAGUAGGGCGGGACACGUGGUAUCCUGUCUGAAUAUGGGGGGACCAUCCUCCAAGGCUAAAUACUCCUGACUGACCGAUAGUGAACCAGUACCGUGAGGGAAAGGCGAAAAGAACCCCGGCGAGGGGAGUGAAAAAGAACCUGAAACCGUGUACGUACAAGCAGUGGGAGCACCUUCGGGUGUGACUGCGUACCUUUUGUAUAAUGGGUCAGCGACUUAUAUUCUGUAGCAAGGUUAACCGUAUAGGGGAGCCGCAGGGAAACCGAGUCUUAACUGGGCGUUAAGUUGCAGGGUAUAGACCCGAAACCCGGUGAUCUAGCCAUGGGCAGGUUGAAGGUUGGGUAACACUAACUGGAGGACCGAACCGACUAAUGUUGAAAAAUUAGCGGAUGACUUGUGGCUGGGGGUGAAAGGCCAAUCAAACCGGGAGAUAGCUGGUUCUCCCCGAAAGCUAUUUAGGUAGCGCCUCGUGAACUCAUCUUCGGGGGUAGAGCACUGUUUCGGCUAGGGGGUCAUCCCGACUUACCAACCCGAUGCAAACUACGAAUACCGAAGAAUGUUAUCACGGGAGACACACGGCGGGUGCUAACGUCCGUCGUGAAGAGGGAAACAACCCAGACCGCCAGCUAAGGUCCCAAAGUCAUGGUUAAGUGGGAAACGAUGUGGGAAGGCACAGACAGCCAGGAUGUUGGCUUAGAAGCAGCCAUCAUUUAAAGAAAGCGUAAUAGCUCACUGGUCGAGUCGGCCUGCGCGGAAGAUGUAACGGGGCUAAACCAUGCACCGAAGCUGCGGCAGCGACACUAUGUGUUGUUGGGUAGGGGAGCGUUCUGUAAGCCUGCGAAGGUGUGCUGUGAGGCAUGCUGGAGGUAUCAGAAGUGCGAAUGCUGACAUAAGUAACGAUAAAGCGGGUGAAAAGCCCGCUCGCCGGAAGACCAAGGGUUCCUGUCCAACGUUAAUCGGGGCAGGGUGAGUCGACCCCUAAGGCGAGGCCGAAAGGCGUAGUCGAUGGGAAACAGGUUAAUAUUCCUGUACUUGGUGUUACUGCGAAGGGGGGACGGAGAAGGCUAUGUUAGCCGGGCGACGGUUGUCCCGGUUUAAGCAUGUAGGCUGGUUAUCCAGGCAAAUCCGGAUAAUCAAGGCUGAGGUGUGAUGACGAGGCACUACGGUGCUGAAGUAACAAAUGCCCUGCUUCCAGGAAAAGCCUCUAAGCAUCAGGUAACAUCAAAUCGUACCCCAAACCGACACAGGUGGUCAGGUAGAGAAUACCAAGGCGCUUGAGAGAACUCGGGUGAAGGAACUAGGCAAAAUGGUGCCGUAACUUCGGGAGAAGGCACGCUGGUGUGUAGGUGAAGCCCCUGCGGGUGGAGCUGAGACCAGUCGAAGAUACCAGCUGGCUGCAACUGUUUAUUAAAAACACAGCACUGUGCAAACACGAAAGUGGACGUAUACGGUGUGACGCCUGCCCGGUGCCGGAAGGUUAAUUGAUGGGGUUAUCCGUAAGGAGAAGCUCUUGAUCGAAGCCCCGGUAAACGGCGGCCGUAACUAUAACGGUCCUAAGGUAGCGAAAUUCCUUGUCGGGUAAGUUCCGACCUGCACGAAUGGCGUAAUGAUGGCCAGGCUGUCUCCACCCGAGACUCAGUGAAAUUGAACUCGCUGUGAAGAUGCAGUGUACCCGCGGCAAGACGGAAAGACCCCGUGAACCUUUACUAUAGCUUGACACUGAACAUUGAGCCUUGAUGUGUAGGAUAGGUGGGAGGCUUUGAAGCGUGGACGCCAGUCUGCGUGGAGCCAACCUUGAAAUACCACCCUUUAAUGUUUGAUGUUCUAACGUUGGCCCCU